rnacentral:rRNA from 1 species
UACGAACUGUGCAAACGUUAUUCGGAAUCACUGGGCUUAAAGGGUGCGUAGGCGGUCAUUUAAGUCGGGUGUGAAAGCCCCCGGCUCAACCGGGGAACUGCGUCCUAAACUGGGUGACUGGAGUGAGAUAGAGGUGUGUGGAACUUCCAGUGGAGCGGUGAAAUGUGUUGAUAUUGGAAGGAACGCCGGUGGCGAAAGCGACACACUGGGUCUCAACUGACGCUGAGGCACGAAAGCCAGGGGAGCGAACGGG